rnacentral:rRNA from 1 species
CCCAAAAGGUAACGGAGGCGCUCAAAGGUUCUCUCAGUACGGUCGGAAAUCGUACGUAGAGUGUAAAGGCAAAAGAGAGCUUGAUUGCAAGACAUACAGGGCGAGCAAGGAUGAAAAUCGGACUUAGUGAUCCGGUGGUUCUGCGUGGAAGGGCCAUCGCUCAACGGAUAAAAGCUACCCUGGGGAUAACAGGCUUAUCUCCCCCAAGAGUCCACAUCGACGGGGAGGUUUGGCACCUCGAUGUCGGCUCAUCACAUCCUGGGGCUGUAGUAGG